UCCCUGAUAGCUCAGUUGGUAAAGAAUCUGCCUGCUCUGCAGGAGACCCUGGUUUGAUUCCUGGUUGGGAAG
rnacentral:tRNA from 1 species